rnacentral:rRNA from 2 species
UUAAGCGACUAAGCGUACACGGUGGAUGCCCUGGCAGUCAGAGGCGAUGAAGGGCGUGCUAAUCUGCGAUAAGCGCCGGUAAGGUGAUAUGAACCGUUAUAACCGGCGAUACCCGAAUGGGGAAACCCAGUGUGAUUCGUCACACUAUCAUUAACUGAAUCCAUAGGUUAAUGAGGCGAACCGGGGGAACUGAAACAUCUAAGUACCCCGAGGAAAAGAAAUCAACCGAGAUUCCCCCAGUAGCGGCGAGCGAACGGGGAGGAGCCCAGAGCCUGAAUCAGCAUGUGUGUUAGUGGAAGCGUCUGGAAAGGUGCGCGAUACAGGGUGACAGCCCCGUACACAAAAGCGCAUGUGCUGUGAGCUCGAUGAGUAGGGCGGGACACGUGGUAUCCUGUCUGAAUAUGGGGGGACCAUCCUCCAAGGCUAAAUACUCCUGACUGACCGAUAGUGAACCAGUACCGUGAGGGAAAGGCGAAAAGAACCCCGGCGAGGGGAGUGAAAAAGAACCUGAAACCGUGUACGUACAAGCAGUGGGAGCACAGGUUUACCUGUGUGACUGCGUACCUUUUGUAUAAUGGGUCAGCGACUUAUAUUCUGUAGCAAGGUUAACCGUAUAGGGGAGCCGGAGGGAAACCGAGUCUUAAUUGGGCGUUAAGUUGCAGGGUAUAGACCCGAAACCCGGUGAUCUAGCCAUGGGCAGGUUGAAGGUUGGGUAACACUAACUGGAGGACCGAACCGACUAAUGUUGAAAAAUUAGCGGAUGACCUGUGGCUGGGGGUGAAAGGCCAAUCAAACCGGGAGAUAGCUGGUUCUCCCCGAAAGCUAUUUAGGUAGCGCCUCGUGAAUUCAUCUCCGGGGGUAGAGCACUGUUUCGGCUAGGGGGCCAUCCCGGCUUACCAACCCGAUGCAAACUGCGAAUACCGGAGAAUGUUAUCACGGGAGACACACGGCGGGUGCUAACGUCCGUCGUGAAGAGGGAAACAACCCAGACCGCCAGCUAAGGUCCCAAAGUCAUGGUUAAGUGGGAAACGAUGUGGGAAGGCCCAGACAGCCAGGAUGUUGGCUUAGAAGCAGCCAUCAUUUAAAGAAAGCGUAAUAGCUCACUGGUCGAGUCGGCCUGCGCGGAAGAUGUAACGGGGCUAAACCAUGCACCGAAGCUGCGGCAGCGAACGUAUCACCCAAGACAACUUUACGGAGUUGACGAUUGACGGAGCGAAGCGACGUCAAAGCGUUCAUUAAAGUCGAGUUGGCUUAGGGAUACGUUCGUUGGGUAGGGGAGCGUUCUGUAAGCCUGUGAAGGUGUGUCGUGAGGCAUGCUGGAGGUAUCAGAAGUGCGAAUGCUGACAUAAGUAACGAUAAAGCGGGUGAAAAGCCCGCUCGCCGGAAGACCAAGGGUUCCUGUCCAACGUUAAUCGGGGCAGGGUGAGUCGACCCCUAAGGCGAGGCCGAAAGGCGUAGUCGAUGGGAAACGGGUUAAUAUUCCCGUACUUGGUGUUACUGCGAAGGGGGGACGGAGAAGGCUAUGUUGGCCGGGCGACGGUUGUCCCGGUUUAAGCGUGUAGGUGUGUGUUCCAGGUAAAUCCGGUUCACUUUAACACUGAGGCGUGACGACGAGGCACUACGGUGCUGAAGCAACAAAUGCCCUGCUUCCAGGAAAAGCCUCUAAGCAUCAGGUAACAUCAAAUCGUACCCCAAACCGACACAGGUGGUCAGGUAGAGAAUACCAAGGCGCUUGAGAGAACUCGGGUGAAGGAACUAGGCAAAAUGGUGCCGUAACUUCGGGAGAAGGCACGCUGACACGUAGGUGAAGUGAUUUACUCAUGGAGCUGAAGUCAGUCGAAGAUACCAGCUGGCUGCAACUGUUUAUUAAAAACACAGCACUGUGCAAACACGAAAGUGGACGUAUACGGUGUGACGCCUGCCCGGUGCCGGAAGGUUAAUUGAUGGGGUCAGCGUAAGCGAAGCUCCUGAUCGAAGCCCCGGUAAACGGCGGCCGUAACUAUAACGGUCCUAAGGUAGCGAAAUUCCUUGUCGGGUAAGUUCCGACCUGCACGAAUGGCGUAAUGAUGGCCAGGCUGUCUCCAUCCGAGACUCAGUGAAAUUGAACUCGCUGUGAAGAUGCAGUGUACCCGCGGCAAGACGGAAAGACCCCGUGAACCUUUACUAUAGCUUGACACUGAACAUUGAGCCUUGAUGUGUAGGAUAGGUGGGAGGCUUUGAAGUGUGGACGCCAGUCUGCAUGGAGCCGACCUUGAAAUACCACCCUUUAAUGUUUGAUGUUCUAACGUGGACCCGUAAUCCGGGUUGCGGACAGUGUCUGGUGGGUAGUUUGACUGGGGCGGUCUCCUCCUAAAGAGUAACGGAGGAGCACGAAGGUUGGCUAAUCCUGGUCGGACAUCAGGAGGUUAGUGCAAUGGCAUAAGCCAGCUUGACUGCGAGCGUGACGGCGCGAGCAGGUGCGAAAGCAGGUCAUAGUGAUCCGGUGGUUCUGAAUGGAAGGGCCAUCGCUCAACGGAUAAAAGGUACUCCGGGGAUAACAGGCUGAUACCGCCCAAGAGUUCAUAUCGACGGCGGUGUUUGGCACCUCGAUGUCGGCUCAUCACAUCCUGGGGCUGAAGUAGGUCCCAAGGGUAUGGCUGUUCGCCAUUUAAAGUGGUACGCGAGCUGGGUUUAGAACGUCGUGAGACAGUUCGGUCCCUAUCUGCCGUGGGCGCUGGAGAACUGAGGGGGGCUGCUCCUAGUACGAGAGGACCGGAGUGGACGCAUCACUGGUGUUCGGGUUGUCAUGCCAAUGGCACUGCCCGGUAGCUAAAUGCGGAAGAGAUAAGUGCUGAAAGCAUCUAAGCACGAAACUUGCCCCGAGAUGAGUUCUCCCUGAGACUUAGAGUCUCCUGAAGGAACGUUGAAGACGACGACGUUGAUAGGCCGGGUGUGUAAGCGCAGCGAUGCGUUGAGCUAACCGGUACUAAUGAACCGUGAGGCUUAACCU